rnacentral:rRNA from 1 species
UACGAAGGGGGCUAGCGUUGCUCGGAAUCACUGGGCGUAAAGCGCACGUAGGCGGCUCGUUUAGUCAGGGGUGAAAUCCUGGAGCUCAACUCCAGAACUGCCCUUGAUACUGGCGGGCUCGAGUCCGGGAGAGGUGAGUGGAACUGCGAGUGUAGAGGUGAAAUUCGUAGAUAUUCGCAAGAACACCAGUGGCGAAGGCGGCUCACUGGCCCGGUACUGACGCUGAGGUGCGAAAGCGUGGGGAGCAAACAGG